rnacentral:rRNA from 1 species
ACGGGAGGCAGCAGUGGGGAAUAUUGCACAAUGGGGGAAACCCUGAUGCAGCAACGCCGCGUGAGUGAUGACGGUCUUCGGAUUGUAAAGCUCUGUCUUUGGGGACGAUAAUGACGGCACCCAAGGAGGAAGCCACGGCUAACUACGUGCCAGCAGCCGCGGUAAUACGUAGGUGGCGAGCGUUGUCCGGAUUUACUGGGCGUAAAGGGAGCGUAGGCGGAUUCUUAAGUGGGAUGUGAAAUACCCGGGCUUAACCUGGGUGCUGCAUUCCAAACUGGGAAUCUAGAGUGCAGGAGGGGAGAGUAGAAUUCCUAGUGUAGCGGUGAAAUGCGUAGAGAUUAGGAAGAACACCAGUGGCGAAGGCGACUCUCUGGACUGUAACUGACGCUGAGGCUCGAAAGCGUGGGGAGCAAACAGGAUUAGAUACCCUGGUA